rnacentral:rRNA from 1 species
AUUGAACGCUGGCGGCAGGCCUAACACAUGCAAGUCGAACGGUAACAGGAAGAAGCUUGCUUCUUUGCUGACGAGUGGCGGACGGGUGAGUAAUGUCUGGGAAACUGCCUGAUGGAGGGGGAUAACUACUGGAAACGGUAGCUAAUACCGCAUAACGUCGCAAGACCAAAGAGGGGGACCUUCGGGCCUCUUGCCAUCGGAUGUGCCCAGAUGGGAUUAGCUAGUAGGUGGGGUAAAGGCUCACCUAGGCGACGAUCCCUAGCUGGUCUGAGAGGAUGACCAGCCACACUGGAACUGAGACACGGUCCAGACUCCUACGGGAGGCAGCAGUGGGGAAUAUUGCACAAUGGGCGCAAGCCUGAUGCAGCCAUGCCGCGUGUAUGAAGAAGGCCUUCGGGUUGUAAAGUACUUUCAGCGGGGAGGAAGGGAGUAAAGUUAAUACCUUUGCUCAUUGACGUUACCCGCAGAAGAAGCACCGGCUAACUCCGUGCCAGCAGCCGCGGUAAUACGGAGGGUGCAAGCGUUAAUCGGAAUUACUGGGCGUAAAGCGCACGCAGGCGGUUUGUUAAGUCAGAUGUGAAACCCCCGGGCUCAACCUGGGAACUGCAUCUGAUACUGGCAAGCCUUGAGUCUCGUAGAGGGGGGUAGAAUUCCAGGUGUAGCGGUGAAAUGCGUAGAGAUCUGGAGGAAUACCGGUGGCGAAGGCGGCCCCCCUGGACGAAGACUGACGCUCAGGUGCGAAAGCGUGGGGAGCAAACAGGAUUAGAUACCCUGGUAGUCCACGCCGUAAACGAUGUCGACUUGGAGGUUGUGCCCUUGAGGCGUGGCUUCCGGAGCUAACGCGUUAAGUCGACCGCCUGGGGAGUACGGCCGCAAGGUUAAAACUCAAAUGAAUUGACGGGGGCCCGCACAAGCGGUGGAGCAUGUGGUUUAAUUCGAUGCAACGCGAAGAACCUUACCUGGUCUUGACAUCCACAGAACUUUCCAGAGAUGGAUUGGUGCCUUCGGGAACUGUGAGACAGGUGCUGCAUGGCUGUCGUCAGCUCGUGUUGUGAAAUGUUGGGUUAAGUCCCGCAACGAGCGCAACCCUUAUCCUUUGUUGCCAGCGGUCCGGCCGGGAACUCAAAGGAGACUGCCAGUGAUAAACUGGAGGAAGGUGGGGAUGACGUCAAAUCAUCAUGGCCCUUACGACCAGGGCUACACACGUGCUACAAUGGCGCAUACAAAGAGAAGCGACCUCGCGAGAGCAAGCGGACCUCAUAAAGUGCGUCGUAGUCCGGAUUGGAGUCUGCAACUCGACUCCAUGAAGUCGGAAUCGCUAGUAAUCGUGGAUCAGAAUGCCACGGUGAAUACGUUCCCGGGCCUUGUACACACCGCCCGUCACACCAUGGGAGUGGGUUGCAAAAGAAGUAGGUAGCUUAACCUUCGGGAGGGCGCUUACCAC